AUUGAACGCUGGCGGCAGGCUUAACACAUGCAAGUCGAGCGGGGUGAUGGUGCUUGCACUAUCACUUAGCGGCGGACGGGUGAGUAAUGCUUAGGAAUCUGCCUAUUAGUGGGGGACAACAUCUCGAAAGGGAUGCUAAUACCGCAUACGUUCUACGGGAGAAAGCAGGGGAUCACUUGUGACCUUGCGCUAAUAGAUGAGCCUAAUUCGGAUUAGCUAGUUGGUGGGGUAAAGGCCUACCAAGGCGACGAUCUGUAGCGGGUCUGAGAGGAUGAUCCGCCACACUGGGACAGAGACAGUGCCCGGACUCCUACGGGAGGCAGCAGUGGGGAAUAUUGGACAAUGGGGGGAACCCUGAUCCAGCCAUGCCGCGUGUGUGAAGAAGGCCUUAUGGUUGUAAAGCACUUUAAGCGAGGAGGAGGCUCUUUUGGUUAAUACCCAAGAUGAGUGGGCGUUACUCGCAGAAUAAGCACCGGCUAACUCUGUGCCAGCCGCCGCCGUAA
rnacentral:rRNA from 1 species